rnacentral:rRNA from 1 species
CCGGCGACCGGCGCACGGGUGAGUAACGCGUAUGCAACCUGCCCGUUUCAGCGGGAUAACCCGGAGAAAUCCGGCCUAAUACCGCAUGUGGCCGAGGGGAGGCAUCUUCUUUCGGCCAAAGGAGGCAACUCCGGAGACGGAUGGGCAUGCGUGACAUUAGCUUGUUGGCGGGGUAACGGCCCACCAAGGCGACGAUGUCUAGGGGUUCUGAGAGGAAGGUCCCCCACACUGGUACUGAGACACGGACCAGACUCCUACGGGAGGCAGCAG